CUCCCUCCACCAGCCGCCACCCACACCCACACUCUCCCAGUUCUCUCCCUUCCAGCAGGUGCCACGCACAUCCCACGCCACACUAGCGGACGCGGCCUGGAGCAGGCGGCUCCCGUAGAUGCGGCAUGGUGGCGCGGCGGUAGAUGUGGCCUGGUGGCGCGUGACUCCGAGAUCUGGGCAGAGGCAGCCUGGUAGUGCUGCUCCGGGUAGAUGCAACGGCUUGGAGGCGUGCAGCUCUGGGCGGACGCUGCCCUGCCUAGCAGCAUGCUGCUCCGGCACAUGCAGAGGCAUGGUGACGUGUAGCUCUGGCGUGACAAGCUCUGCCAGGAUGCUGGCGAUGACGGCCUUCUCUGUGGUUAGAUUUGGCAGAGGUCUUCUCAUGCCUUUGUUUUUGGGAGACCAGAGGUUUUGAAUUUCUUCUGAAUUAGCAGCAGUUCAAUGGUGUUGGCUUUGCAUCUGUUAACCGGCAACAGCAACAUGAUUCUGUAUUUUUUAAUAUGAAUUCAGUUCAGCAUCAAUAAAAACAUAAAUUUGACAAGCUCGGAGAACACUCUAAAAAUCAUACUCGAUACUAAAGUUAUACAUGUUAUUCUUGUAUAUAUUUUUCAAUGAAGUGUUCAAUAGAUGAUUAGCUAUACUAUUGUGGUGAUAUUUUGUCCCAGGUUAUCUAACACCCAAGAAACUGUGCAUUCUCAUAGUGUUAUGAAUAAUAAUUUUAGGCUAUUUACAGUGAUAUGUUCUGCAUGUAAUGCAGUAGUGUAGAUUUUAAUAUACUUAAUUCUGUAGUUCACCAUUAAACUAUAAAUUUGCUGGUGGUCUCUUGUAUUCUGGAUGCAUAUAGCCAUCGGCCAAAGUCUAGAUUAAAGAUGUAGUUCAGUGUACUGCUCCUAGUUAAAUUAAUCUUUGGAAGUUCAGUAUACUACAACUGCUUAUUAAUUCGACCAUAGGUAGUCACGGAGCUGCUUCUAGUUAGCAUGGUUAGUUAGCUCCUACUGUUGUGAUGUCACUUGUAAUAAAUUGAUGGCAAGUGUACUACUAUUUCCUGCUUGUAGCCCUCUAUUUUUCCAUCUACACUUUCUGUAGGGAUUUAAGCAUCAUAUAUGUAUGACAAAUAAAUCUGACGAUGACUGCUAUCUAUUGUGCAACUACAGGCCAUUUGGAAUAGGUUUCAGCACUAGUUUGAGGCAGUCGCUAUGCUUUCAAUCACUGUUCUAUCUAACUAGUGAGUUUUGAGAAGAGAAUUGGUGGAUAAAACAAUAUUGGAGAAGUGCUUGACCAAGGAACAUCAUUUCACCAAGGCGGUUGCAUUGCUUAUUUGCUUAUCGCGGCAUGGUGGAUAGACAAUGUUAGCUGUUUGAAUUAGUGUAGUUUUUAAAUUGAUUCAUCAUCAAUUUGUAAAUCUUUUUAUAUAAACAUAUUUGACCAAAUGGUUGUAAAUCUAUAAUUCAGAAUGCUAUAAUGAAAUUUCACCAUAUUUGUCAUUCAA